UUCCUGGUGGCUCAGAUGGUAAAGAAUCUGCCUGCAAUGUAGGAGACCCAGGUUCGAACCUGGGUUGGGAAA
rnacentral:tRNA from 1 species